UGAGGGACUUUACACAUCGUAUUAAGGGUUUGAGCUUCAACUUGGGGUCGUCGGGAGCCAUUGAAGGUUUUUUGUUGUUUGUUUUUUGAGACGGGGUUUUGCUCUUGUUGCCCAGGCUGGGGUGCAGUGGCGCGAUCUCGGCUCACUGCAACCUCUGUCUCCCGGGUUCGAGCGGUUCUUGUGCCUCACCUUCCCAAGUAGCUGGGAUUACAGGCGCCAGUCACCACGCCCAGCUAAUUUUUGUGUUUUUAGUAGAGACUAGGUUUCACUCUGUUGCCCAGGCUGGUCUCCAACUCCUGACCUCAGGUGAUCCGCCCGCCUCGGCCUCCCAAAGUGGUGGGAUUACAGGCGUGAGCCACCGCUCACGGCUUUUUUUUUUUUUUUUUUUAAGUAGAGACGGGCGGUGGGGGCGGGGGGGGGAGUCUCACUAUGUUGCCCAGGCUGGUCUCGAGCCCUGGCCGCAAGAGAUCCUCCCGCCUCGGCCUCCCAAAGCGCUGAGAUUACAGGCGUGAGCCACCACGCCCGGCGUAAGAUUUUGUUUUUAAAGGCCUAAUUACAGUGAGAACAGAUGAGGCAAGGACACCCAUUAGGAGGCUAUUACAUAAUCUAGAUGAAAAGUGAGAGCGGCCCGAAUUAGGAGGUGGAGCGAAAAGAAUGGAGAAAUAUGGAGCAUAGUCAAGACGCAGUUGUUAACGAUUUGCCGGUUUCUGGCCUUAACAUCUGAGAGUAGUGUGCCUCCAGUCACUGAAAUAAUGAACACAGGAGAGGUGUAAAGGAAUCAGUUUGCAGGGCAGACAAUAUGUUUUUUAAAAGAUACAGUAUCAUAAAAUGCACACUAGAAGUGUACAUUCAGUGGUUUCCAGUACGUUCACAGGAUUUGCAGCCAUCGUCGCUAAUUCCAGAACGUUUUAAAACCCCAAAUCGAACCUGCCGUACCCAUUCGUAGUCACUCCGCAAUUCCCCCGACCCCAUCCCCUGGCAAUCACUUAUCGGCUUUCUGUCUCUGUGGUUUUGCGUAUUCAGUACAUUUUAUGUAAAUGGGAUCAUGUGAUACUUGGCUUUUUCUGCUGGGCUUUUAUUAAGCAUGUUUUCAAGAUUUCAUCCAUGUAGAUGAAUCAGUACUGCAUGCCUUUUCAUGGCUGCAUAAUCACGUGUUUGGAUGGACCAUGUUUUGUUUAUCCAUGUAUCAGGUGAUGGGCAUAUGGAUGUUUUUACUUUUUGGCUGUUAGAAAUAAUGCUGCUAUGAACAUUCGUGUUCAUAACACAAGUUUUUGUGUUCUAGGAGUGGAAUUACUGGGUAAGACUACAUUUGAUUCUGAAUGUUGAGCUUCAAAACCUUCCAAGAGGUUUUCCUUGAUGAAGGAUUUAGGAGGUGUUUACUUGCUCUCUGGCUUGGAAAUCUAAGUUAGUUUGUAAUAUGGUUUCCAACUGGAUAAAGAAGACAGAACAAGAAUGAUAAGCAGCCCAGAGGCAAGGGUAGGGCAGGG
rnacentral:lncRNA from 1 species